CGGUCACCUUUGCUCCGCGGUGAUUGGCUUGCAGCGGGGUCCUCGUGUUUGUCCAAUAUGGCGGCGCCCAGUGGCGGUGUGAACUGUGAGGAGUUCGCCGAGUUCCAGGAAUUACUCAAGGUGAUGAGGACAAUUGAUGACAGAAUAGUACAUGAAUUAAACACUACAGUUCCAACAGCUUCCUUUGUAGGGAAAAUUGAUGCCAGCCAAACCUGUAAACAGCUUUAUGAGUCAUUGAUGGCAGCUCAUGCCAGUAGAGACAAAGUCAUAAAAAAUUGUAUAGCCCAGACGUCAGAAGUAGUAAAAAACCUCCGAGAAGAGAGAGAAAAGAAUUUGGACGAUUUAACGUUAUUAAAGCAACUUAGAAAAGAGCAGACAAAGUUUGCUGUGAAGAUUUUGGAAUCAGAGAGAGCUCUUGGAGAUGUUACAGCUCUACCUCUUCAUUUUCUAUCUGAGGAAAAAGACUCAGAGAUACUAACUGACAUCCCCAAAGCCACAAGCUAUUGAAAUGGAUGCAGUCAGAACUGAAUGUUGAAGAAGUGGUAAAUGACAGGAGCUGGAAGGUGUUUAAUGAACGCUGCCGAAUUCACUUCAAGCCUCCAAAGAAUGAAUAAAGAGAGAUACUUUUUUUUUUUUUUUAAAGGACUGGGUCAUCUCAUAAGAGCUAAGCAUGACAGGUAUCAACAGGGCGGGCUUCCUAGGAUGAUUUCUGAGCCAACAGUCCAAGACCUUUUGUUGAUUUCAGCCCCACUUAGCCAAGACCUCAAAUAUAAAUAAUUCUGAUAAUUAUGGAGAAAUCAACUGCUAUUUUAUACUGAUUCUGUAAAAAAAAAAAAGUUUUGUAACUAUUAAAAUAAUUUUCUGACUCAGUGUACAUAUUUAUUUGAUUGUUUUCUAUGUUGAGACAGUUCUCUAUUUAUUUAUUGAAUUUUUAGUUUUUAUUCUUUUUAAUAUCCUUUCUGUCAGGUUGUAACAGUUCUCAUAAGAGAAUUUGCAUGCACUUUCAAUAUCUGAUUUGUAUUGUACUUUUUUAUUUUUACAAAUUUAUUGGCAUGGAUAUGGACCUUUUUGGUCAUUGAUGAGUUUAUCCCUUGAUUUAUCUAUUGUACUUUUUUAUUUUUAUAAAUUUAUUGGCAUGGA